ACUCCUGCCACUGCACCCAGCGGCUCGUUGCCAUGACCGUAUCCAGCAAGGGAUGGAGUGAAGAAAUUGGAUUGGGAUCAUGGAGUAAAUCAAAUGAGGAUGCAACUCAUGUUCGUGUAGGUUGCUUCCAUGACCAUACUUCAAAUAUGGGAGAUUAGUUUGCCUAUUAUCAUCAACUUUGAACCAUCUUUACGUGCGCAUUUUUUCCAAAGCGUAGCUGUAUAAAAUAAACUGUAUUGGUUUUCAGUUUUAUAAUUGUCCAUGGCUUUGCUCACAUCACAAAUUUUGAUAGCUAGACAGUUCCCGAGUUCGGUGCAACCGAAACACUUAUAAUCCAGUCCAACAUAGAUAGUUUACCCCUAUUGGACAUGCAUUUAUCUUCCUCGAUGAGUAUGGCAGAAUCCAACAUCCUUUCGUCCUCUAAAUUGGGGAUCCAUGGCUGCCAACCGACGGAGCAAGACCGGAGACCACCCUCUCCUCCUCCAAUUUGGAGCUCCAUGGUCACCAUUCGACAGGCACACUGCCGUGUGGCCUCCUCACCGCCUCACCUGGGAGAGCGCAGACGCCAACAUCGCCCACGACCCGCCUCUUGUUCGGUCAACAAGUUGUAGUUCAAUUAGGUCUGUUGCUCCUCUUACAUGUAGAGCCUGGGAGAUCAUGGUCUUCUCUCAUUUUCUUUUGAACAAUAUAUACACUGCAGGUAUGUGAGAAGAAAUAUUGUAUUUCUUGGAAAAGAUAUGCGAAAUUAGCAGGCAUCAAUUUGACUAGGUUUACAAGCUAUUAGAUGUGCAUUUUUAAGAUGCGGUAGUCAUACUUUCUACUGGAAUUUGACUUAUAAUUCUAAUAAUUUGUUGGUC